AGCAGCCGCGGUAAUUCCAGCUCCAAUAGCGUAUAUUAAAGUUGUUGCAGUUAAAAAGCUCGUAGUUGAAUUUCGGGAUCAAAUCGUCGGUCGUGCUUUCGGGUACGUACUGGUGUUAUUGGUUUCUCCCUUCUGACGAACCAUGAUGUCAUUAAUUUGGUGUUAUGGGGAGUUAGGACUGUUACUUUGAAAAAAUUAGAGUGUUUAAAGCAGGCAUUAGCUUGAAUACAUUAGCAUGGAAUAAUGAAAUAGGACGUUCGAUCCUAUUUUGUUGGCUUCUAGGAUCAACGUAAUGAUUAAUAGGGAUAUUGGGGGCAUUAGUAUUCAAUUGUCAGAGGUGAAAUUCUUGGAUUUAUUGAAGACUAACUACUGCGAAAGCAUUUGCCAAGGAUGUUUUCAUUAAUCAAGAACGAAAGUUAGGGGAUCGAAGACGAUCAGAUACCGUCGUAGUCUUAACCAUAAACUAUGCCGACUAGGGAUCGGAUGAUGUUAAUUUUUAAUGACUCAUUCGGCGCCUUAA
rnacentral:rRNA from 1 species